GACUGUUACCAAGAACAAAAAAGAUUAAAUGGCACCGGAAUCUCUUUCAAGCACAAAUAGCAAAAAAAUUUCAAAACCAACCUCUUUAAUUUGCUGAAUCCAUUGAGAAAAUAUAACUACGAAUCGACGGUCGGUGAGAAUUCAAGGAAGAUUGGAUUUCUCCUUGGAGUUGGAAAUGAAAUGUCUUUGGUAAAUUUAAAGAUUAGGGCAACAAAUCCCUUCCAACG
rnacentral:lncRNA from 1 species